GAAGGGAGCUUGCUCCCAGAUGUUAGCGGCGGACGGGUGAGUAACACGUGGGUAACCUGCCUGUAAGACUGGGAUAACUCCGGGAAACCGGAGCUAAUACCGGAUAGUUCCUUGAACCGCAUGGUUCAAGGAUGAAAGACGGUUUCGGCUGUCACUUACAGAUGGACCCGCGGCGCAUUAGCUAGUUGGUGGGGUAAUGGCUCACCAAGGCGACGAUGCGUACCGACCUGAGAGGGUGAUCGGCCACACUGGGACUGAGACACGGCCCAGACUCCUACGGGAGGCAGCAGUAGGGAAUCUUCCGCAAUGGACGAAAGUCUGACGGAGCAACGCCGCGUGAGUGAUGAAGGUUUUCGGAUCGUAAAGCUCUGUUGUUAGGGAAGAACAAGUGCGAAGUAACUGCUCGCACCUUGACGGUACCUAACCAGAAAGCCACGGCUAACUACGUGCCAGCAGCCGCGGUAAUACGUAGGUGGCAAGCGUUGUCCGGAAUUAUUGGGCGUAAAGGGCUCGCAGGCGGUUUCUUAAGUCUGAUGUGAAAGCCCCCGGCUCAACCGGGGAGGGUCAUUGGAAACUGGGAAACUUGAGUGCAGAAGAGGAGAGUGGAAUUCCACGUGUAGCGGUGAAAUGCGUAGAGAUGUGGAGGAACACCAGUGGC
rnacentral:rRNA from 1 species